rnacentral:rRNA from 1 species
CGGAGGGUGCAAGCGUUAUCCGGAUUCACUGGGUUUAAAGGGUGCGUAGGCGGACAGGUAAGUCAGUGGUGAAAUCUCCGAGCUUAACUCGGAAACUGCCGUUGAUACUAUCUGUCUUGAAUAUCAUGGAGGUAAGCAGAAUAUGUCAUGUAGCGGUGAAAUGCUUAGAUAUGACAUAGAAUACCGAUAGCGAAGGCAGCUUACUACAUGUUAAUUGACGCUGAGGCACGAAAGCGUGGGGAGCAAACAGGAUUAGAUACCCUGGUAGUCCACGCCCUAAACGAUGGAUACUCGACAUCAGCGAUACACUGUUGGUGUCUGAGCGAAAGCAUUAAGUAUCCCACCUGGGAAGUACGACCGCAAGGUUG